AACAUUAAAAUUCCUGCAAGUUUUAAUAUCACUUAAUGAUAAUCCAAAGAUUAUUUCUUUCACUCACUCUGCUGCAGUUUGAUGUGUUUUGUAAGGUAUAGGUGGCUGUGUAAUAAUAGUGAUUAUUUAUCUUACUCACUCUUGUAUUUUGAUUCUUUUUUUCAGAAGACCCAGUGAGUUCAACAGUCAAGAGGAUGAGGAGGACCGUCCCAACCCGACCUGCACAGAGGAAGUUGUCACUAUUUGCUUCUUCUGUGCUGGUGGGUUUGGGAAGCUCCUCACACACACACAGAUGUUUUUCUCCAGCUGUGGAUGGUCACACCAGAAGAAGCUAAGUUCAAACUUAAUGACAACAUUAACAAACAUGUUCUGCACGUUUUAAUUUGACUUAUUUAACAGUUCAAGGAUUAUUUAUCUCACUUAAUCUGUUGUACUGUUGUACUUUUCUCUAGUUGUAGAUGAUUAUACCAGCUAAGUGAAAAACCUUUCACUUAUUUAUAAAGUCAGGGAUUAUUUAUCUUACUCACUCUUGUAUUUUGAUUCUUUUUCAGAAGAAGAAGAGUUCAACAGUCAAGAGGAUGAGGAGGACCGUCCCAUCCCAACCUGCACAGAGGAAGUUGUCACUAUUUGCUUCUUCUGUGCUGGUGGGUUUGGGAAGCUCCUCACACACACACAGAUGUUUUUCUCCAGCUGUGGAUGGUCACACCAGACGAAGUCAAGAGGUUGAGAACCAUCCCGAUCAUACCUGCACAGACAAGGUGGAGCUGUGGAGGCUGUAGCACUUCCCCCUGAUGACCACUGGACAAACUAGAGAGCAGUAGUAAACUCAAAUGUCCAGACCUACAAGCAGCUGGGAGCAGACGUCAACCAACCUAUCAUCCCAUGAAGACCCAGAACCACAGCAGACCUCUGAACCAGUCCCAGCACCCUGCUUCCCAAACACCACACCAAACACUAUCUGAAGACCCAGUGAGUACAAGUACGACCAACCCUCCCCUCCCCCACCCUCAUCCUCCUCCCUCCUCCCUCUCCCCCACCCUCCUUCCUCCUCCCUCUCCCCUCCACUGCCUCCAGCUGCCUCCUCAUCAGCCAAGAGGAUGAGGAGGACCAUCCCGAUUCCACCUGCACAGAGGAAGCUGUCACCAUUUGCCUCUUCUGUGCUGAUGGGUCUAGGAAGCUCCUCACACACACACACACACACACACACACACACACACACACACACACACAGUAUUUUUAGGGCCUUGGCUUUGUCACAUUAAAUACAGCAUGUUACUGUAAUACAAUGCAAUACAUUUAAGACAAACUUUCUAAAUAUUUCUUUAUAAUAUCCAAAAAUAUGGUCAUAUUUAAACUUUUAACUGUGAUUUUGAUACUUUAGUAAAUAUAAAGUAUGUAUAAUGUUUAAUACACAGCACAAAUAUUACAUGUUGAUAUUAAAAAAUGCUGUAAUACUGAUCAGGAUAUGAACUUUGUCCAUAUCACCACACAUAAUUUAAGUGUUUAUUAGUGAUAAUAGAUCAUACAUUCAUUCCUAUUGUUCAUAUGUGUCACAAUGUUUUACAGUUUGACUGGUUUGUUGUUGAAUUCAAUAAAAUCAUCACAUGUGAAAUGA